rnacentral:rRNA from 1 species
ACCCAGGGAAACCUCGGCUAAUACCGGAUACUCCGCGCAGCCCGCAUGGGAGGCGCGGGAAAGCCCAGACGGCAAGGGAUGGGGUCGCGGCCCAUUAGGUAGACGGCGGGGUAACGGCCCACCGUGCCCGCGAUGGGUAGCCGGGUUGAGAGACCGAUCGGCCACAUUGGGACUGAGAUACGGCCCAGACUCCUACGGGAGGCAGCAGUGGGGAAUUUUGCGCAAUGGGGGAAACCCUGACGCAGCAACGCCGCGUGCGGGACGAAGGCCUUCGGGUUGUAAACCGCUUUCAGCAGGGAAUAUAGUGAAGGUACCUGCAGAAGAAGCUCCGGCUAACUACGUGCCAGCAGCCGCGGUAAUACGUAGGGAGCGAGCGUUAUCCGGAUUCAUUGGGCGUAAAGCGCGCGUAGGCGGCCCGUCAAGCGGGGUUUCAAAUCCAGGGGCUCAACCUCUGGCCGGACCCCGAACUGGCGGGCUCGAGUGCGGUAGAGGAAGGUGGAAUUCCCAGUGUAGCGGUGAAAUGCGCGGAUAUUGGGAAGAACACCGAUGGCGAAGGCAGCCUUCUGGGCCGCCACUGACGCUGAGGCGCGAAAGCUAGGGGAGCGAACAGGAUUAGAUACCCUG